rnacentral:rRNA from 1 species
AUUGAACGCUGGCGGCAUGCUUUACACAUGCAAGUCGAACGGUAACAGGCCGCAAGGUGCUGACGAGUGGCGAACGGGUGAGUAAUGCAUCGGAACGUGCCCAGUCGUGGGGGAUAACUACUCGAAAGAGUAGCUAAUACCGCAUACGAUCUAUGGAUGAAAGCGGGGGACCGUAAGGCCUCGCGCGAUUGGAGCGGCCGAUGUCUGAUUAGGUAGUUGGUGGGGUAAAGGCUCACCAAGCCAACGAUCUGUAGCUGGUCUGAGAGGACGACCAGCCACACUGGGACUGAGACACGGCCCAGACUCCUACGGGAGGCAGCAGUGGGGAAUUUUGGACAAUGGGCGCAAGCCUGAUCCAGCAAUGCCGCGUGCAGGAAGAAGGCCUUCGGGUUGUAAACUGCUUUUGUACGGAACGAAACGGCUCUGGUUAAUACCCGGGGCUAAUGACGGUACCGUAAGAAUAAGCACCGGCUAACUACGUG